CACCAGAGAAAGAAACACUUAGAUAGAACUCCUAUGUGUGUGUGUGUGUGUGUGUGUGUCGGCCACACUGGAGCAGGAAAUAUUUUGAGUAUUUCAUAACAGAGUAGAGAAACAUCACUGGAGACCAGUGACAAACCAAGCAGCCUGUGUAUUGAUUGGUUUUGUUUGUUCCACUAUUUGAGGAAUAUUUUGUGAGGAGGAGAUGAGUCGGAGAGACAGGGAGGUGAAAAUUGGGACGAAGAUUUUGCAGUAAACAUCUGCAAACCUGAAUGACGGUCGGAGUCAACGACUAAGUAAUAAAACUGUUUGCCUGCUCCCAAGACGAUGUGACAAACACAGAUUCUAACUGUCACAAACAACAAUGGCAACUGCCGCAACCACAUCCUGCAUACGUACAGUUCAGUCACCGAUAAGUGCAGAGGUUUCCUGUGAAAACCCACUUAAAUAUAGAAGUGUUUUUUCAAACCAGCAAGAAAUGUGUUUUUAAGUGUUUGUCAUUUGUAUUUAGUUACAUAUUACACACAACCAAACGUACUUUAUUCAGUUUUUUUAAUCAAUAAAUAUAUUCAUCAGUUGUGAAGCAAAAAAUAUAGAAUGUGGAAAGUUUCUGUGAAAACUCCGUGUUAAGUGUUUAAUCAGAUUAUUCACAAAAUGUGUUUUAAAAGUGUUUGUCAACAAAUUACACACAAUUGAUUUUACUUUAUUUGCUAUUUCAUCUUUAAUAUAUUCAUCAAUGGUGAAGAAAAUAAAAUAACAUAAAUAAAUAAUUAAAUAAUAAAUAAAUGUAAUAACUCAAAAUAUAAAUAUAUAAAUAUAAAUAAAUAAAUAAUUUUAAAAAUAAUUAGAAACCAAGAGAGAAGUUUCUGAAUAAUAUGGCAGACUUAAAAAUUACAAAUGGAUCAUCACUAUAUUCAUCAUAUAAUUUUCAAGAAAACAAAAAUCCAUUAAAUUGAUUUUGAAAUAUACCCCCCCC